UUGCUUCAGCAGCACAUAUACUAAAAUUACAACAAUACAGAGAAGAAUAACAUGGCCCUGCAAAAAUAUGACAACCAAAUUUAUGAAGCAUUUAAUGACCUA